CGUGUAGGCGGUCAGGUAAGUGGAAUGUGAAAUGCCCCGGCUCACCCGGGGACCGGCAUCCCAAACUGCCUGGCUUGAGUGUGGGAGAGGAUGGAGGAAUUCCUGGUGUAGCGGUGAAAUGCGUAGAUAUCAGGAGGAACACCGGUGGCGAAGGCGUCCAUCUGGCCCAAUACUGACGCUGAGGCGCGAAAGCUAGGGGAGCAAACG
rnacentral:rRNA from 1 species